GCCGUGUUGAGAUUUGUUUUUAGCUUAGCUGGGACACGAGUGAGAUUGUAACCGAGGGGAAAAAACGGUUAAGCUUAUUUUCUCUGAGAUUGGUUUUAUUUCAGUAUUCUCACAGACGCCAAACACCUCCGCAUCUUUCUUGAAGUUGAUUUGCUGCCAUGCCGGUGCACCGUGACCGGGAGAAAAAGGAAAGUACAGCAGAGGAGAUGGAGGUGGAAGAGCAGGAGCAGGAGGCGUCCAGCUCAGAGGAGGAGGAUUCUGACACCUCCUCUGUCUCUGAGGAUGGAGACAGCUCAGAAAUGGAUGAGGAGGACUGUGAGCGGAGGAGGAUGGAGUGCCUGGAUGAAAUGUCCAACCUGGAGAAACAGUUCACUGAUUUAAAAGACCAGCUGUAUCGUGAGCGUCUCAGUCAAGUGAACAGCAAGUUGGCAGAGGUGGAAGCUGGCCGGGCAGCAGAAUAUCUGGAGCCUCUGGCGGUGCUGCUGGAGAACAUGCAGGUCCGCACCAAAGUGGCAGGUAUCUACAGAGAGCUGUGUCUGGAGUCUGUGAAGAACAAGUAUCAGUGUGAGAUCCAGGCAGCGUGCCAGCACUGGGAGAGUGAGAAGCUGCUGCUGUUUGAUACAGUACAGAGUGAACUGGAGGAGAAAAUUAGAAGACUGGAGGAGGACAGACACAGCAUAGAUAUUACAUCAGAGCUGUGGAAUGAUGAGUUGUCAGGGAGGAAGAAGAGGAGAGAUGCUUUAAGUCCUGACAAGAAGAGGAGAAGACCUUCAGUGGUGUCUGGCCCAUAUAUUGUCUAUAUGCUACCUGACUUGGACAUCCUGGAGGACUGGACCGCCAUCAGAAAGGCUGUGGCUACGCUGGGUCCCCACAGAGGGAAGGCCGACUCUGACAGCUCCGUGUUCCCAUUCAGACCAGACAGAAACAGACCCAUACUAAACUGCUGAGGCGUACACACAUUGCCCAAACACACACAUACACACACACACACAUGCAGUCACACAUUAGGAGACACACUCAAACACAUGAACAAUGCACACAGCGGUACAUUUGUCCCAACGCUCCCACAAUUCACUACACUUCUCAGCGAACAGCGACACCAGUCGGUAAGCUGCCUCUCGUGCCAACAGGCACACACAACAAGGACUCACGGGUUUGAAUCCCCUUGAAGGAGAAAUAGAAACAGAAGCAUUUUUUUUCCUUUAAUGCUAAUCACCAGCACUUCCAUUCAGAAUUGGGCUAUUAUUUUUCUGUUCCCUUAGUGGAGAGGUAAGAGAGGAUUUGUGUUUUCAACUUGGAGCCUUUAAGUAUCACUGGACAUUAAAACUCCAGAAAGAAAUCAGGGUUUUAUUUUAUUAAGUAAUUCCUUGAAUUUUGAUAGAAGACUAAUACUACAUGUUACAGGUCUACUACAUGAUUUCAGACUAUAUGUCUCACACUCUGACCUCUGAGCAUUAGAUCACAGCCGUUUUCCUUCAAAGUAGGUGCCACAUUUUGGAUUGAAAUGAUCAGUGGCAAAUUGUUGUCAGUCCUUGUUUACAUAUUGAACAGAUCCAUCCACUUGGGUGGACCUACAGUAAAGUUCUUUUUUUUUUAACCUCCCAGAUCCUGUCGUAUUUGGUGAGCAUGCUAACGCCUUUUUCACAUUAAGGUGAAAACAUUGGCCUAAAGGUAUAAAAAGGCAAAUUUUUAAUACAACCUAGUUUACACCCUGGGUUCACUGUUGCCUGGAAUUGUUCAUCAGUGUCAUGUGAUGUUGUUUUUUUAAGUGUUUUACUGCUACCGAGCUCCGUCAUCUGAUGUGGAUGCCGUUAAACGGGCACACCUUGAGUCACAUGGAUUGUUUUCCCAGUUGUCUGAACACUGCAGUCACCAGCAGUUCAAGGGCCUUUGCAAACAUCUAUAUUGGUGCAUCUUGCAUUUGUAGGAGUUACCGUUUGGUUUCUGUGACAAACUCAGUGACAACUUAAAUCCCACACUGAUAAAUGCAAGGUAAGGAAAUAAAUAUUUCAAGCUUGUGAGUGCAAACAAGACCAAGACAGAAAGGAAUAACACUUAGGAUCUUCCUGUCCAGAUUCUAUCUUCAUGAAUCUGGACAGGAAGAUCCUCAGUAUUAUUCCUUUCUUUUGGACGCUUAUCCUUUUCUAACCACUGAACAUUUAUGCACCGCCAUCUCUGUUGGUAGUACAGUGGGUAGUGGCUAAACUGUAGCAGAAACAGACGUGAUCUCCAUAGAUCUUAACUUAAGACCAUAUACAGUGUUGAUAAGAUACCUGUGCAUUUUUGGCCUGAAGCCUUUCAUACAAAUUCUCUAUAUUUGUUAAUAUAUUACUAGUUAUUUUAAAGAUGAUCACAUUUUUUUACUAACCACUACAUCAGCAAUUGCAAUUCUAUUCAAUAAUGUAAUGACACGGUAUCCACGUUAAAGUGAUUUUAACUGAAGGCCAUGAAAUACCAAGGUAUCCCUUGUUGUUAUUCACCGGGUUUUAUUGUUACAUUCUCUGCUUAUUGAAUCUACCUCUUCUCUCUUCCUCUCGCUCUGUGUCAUGCUUUCCUUAGAAAUACUCAUCCAUUAUUCAGUGAACAUGUAAAUGCUUCCAUCCUUAUGAUCACCUUGACAAAAACUGAUCUUUUUUUUUCUCUUGGUGUAUAUUGUAUAGACAGGGAAGGAUCCUAGGAGCCUAAAUCACAUCCUUCCAAUAACACUCCUCCACUGAAUCUUCACAGAGAUAAACCAUUGUUUUUACAGGAUGAUGAACAAACUGACAUUUAAUAGAACAGAUUGUUUGUGAAGAUUAAAGUGGUGGGAAUGUAAAAUGUUCAAAUUUAUAUUUUUCAACAGUUUAUGUUAAGUAAUGUUUCAGGUACAUUUGUGUCUUUUUUUGUUAAUGAUGCGGAUGAGUUUUACAAUUAAAAGUUUUAUAAUUACUUUGUGGUGUCUGUGU